rnacentral:pre_miRNA from 1 species
GAUUUCAACUGAAAAAGUCAUCAACAACAAAGUUGUAUAACUCAUCAAGAUCUAUAACUUUUAUUUUGGUCAUUUCUUCAUCCGACAAAGUGAUAGUAGUAUUGUUUACAAAAUUUACAUCUAUAUCAUUUGGUUCUAUAAACUAUAAAGGAGAUAUGUAAACUUUGUGAAUAAUACUACUGUCACUUUAUCGGAUGAAGAAAUGAUCAAAAUAAAAGUUGUAUGUCUUGAUGAGCUCUACAACUUUUAUGUUCAUGACUUUUUCAGCUGAAAUU